UCAGCAUCCCUACAGAUGUGAAGAUGCCCAUCUCCAAUGGUUUCUACCGCCAUAUCUACAACCCCGACUAGAUUUAUCAAUGUAUGGGAUCUCUCCUUAUCCAGCGGUCAGUCCGACGUCUGGCAUAUAGGGCGACAUCAGCAUCCCUACAGAUGUGAAGCUGCCCAUCCUUAAUGGUUUCUACUGCCAUAUCUACAACCCUGACUGAAUUUAUCAAUGUAUGGGAUAUCACCUUAUCUGGUGCUCACUCUAACGCCUCCGGCAUAGAGGAUGACAUCAGCAUCCCUAGAGAUGUGAAGCAGCCCAUCCUUAAUGGUUUCUACUGCCAUAUCUACAACCCCGACUGGAUUUAUUAAUGUAUGGGAUCUCUCCUUAUCUGUCAC